rnacentral:rRNA from 1 species
CAGCCGCCGCGGGAAUACGUAGGUCCCGAGCAUUGUCCGGAUUUAUUGGGCGUAAAGCGAGCGCAGGCGGUUAGAUAAGUCUGAAGUUAAAGGCUGUGGCUUAACCAUAGUACGCUUUGGAAACUGUUUAACUUGAGUGCAAGAGGGGAGAGUGGAAUUCCAUGUGUAGCGGUGAAAUGCGUAGAUAUAUGGAGGAACACCGGUGGCGAAAGCGGCUCUCUGGCUUGUAACUGACGCUGAGGCUCGAAAGCGUGGGGAGCAAACAAGAUUAGAUACCCGUGUAGUCCCUGUCUCUUAUACA